rnacentral:lncRNA from 1 species
AAACAUUGACUUUGAGCAACGAUGGUAAAGUCCUCCUAAAUUCUAUGAAAUCCAAUUCUACACCUUUCAAAGAAGCUUGAAGCUAGCUCUCCAAUUCCAAAAUCUUGAUCACCCGAAUGCCUCCUUCCUUUUUCUUUCCUUUCUUUUAAUUCUAUGACGUCCCCUAUUCUUUUGCCUUAGACUCCGAAUUGGAAUAGCAGACCUGUUUCCAUAGAUAUUCCGCCUCUAAGAGGAUCUUUUCACAAAAAGGACGUUUUUUAAAAAUGGCAUAGAGAACAUAACAGCUUGAAAUAGAACCGAAGCCUCCAUAUUCGAGACCUCAUUGGAUUGUCCAACCUAGUCAGGUCUCAUACUGACUAAGAAGCCCAUUACAGAAUCUGGAUUUGAUGUCCCCGUAAUUAGGUCAAAUUGGUCCUUCGCAUCAGGUUCACCCAAUU